GCAUGGGUUUGGAUUUGUGGCAGGUCCGAUUCCAUGGGUCUCUCAGUGUCCCAUGCCAAAGCAAACUGUCACCCCGAACCAUUGCCUGGCAUUACCUGGUGCGCUUAAGGCACUGAAGCGGGUUUGCACAGUG